rnacentral:rRNA from 1 species
AUGCCAUUUGCCCCUGUGGUUGGUGUGGACAACUAUGGAAAGACUGUCCUGUUUGGUGCGGCAUUGUUAAAGGAUGAGAAGGAAGACACAUUCAGGUGGCUGUUUCGAGCAUUUCUGAGGUCGACGGGGGGUCUGCACCCGGAAACCAUAAUAACAGACCAGGAUGUCGCAAUGCGGAAUGCUAUACGUGCUGUCAUGUUGCACUCAACCCACCGCUUCUGCAACUGGCACAUCCAGAGGAAAAUGAAACAGAAACUAGUCACUUUCUUUGCUGCCCGAGGAACUUUGCAUGCAGAGCUCCGGAGCCUAAUCAGGAACUCGUUCACGCCUGAAGAGUUUGAGAGCGGAUGGCACGCUCUGUUGGAGAAGCAUGAUGCUCAGGAUGAAACCCACCUAAAGCGGUUGUUUGAAAUCAGAGAUGAGUGGGUCCCUGCGUACUACAUGGACAAAUUUUUCCCAUUCACGUCAUCAACUGGGAGGAGCGAGAGCACCAACUCUCUGUUCAAAGGCUACGUCCUCCGAAAAGACUCGAUUGCGACGUUUUUCAACCAGUACCAGAUUGUGCAGGAAAAGAAGCAUAGCGACCUUGAUCGACUGAGAGAGAAAUCAGAACUGAGAGAACAACGUUACUGGAGUUACGACCCUAUGGAAAGAGAGGCUGCAAAGAUAUACACACCACCAAUAUACGCCAAAUUUGUGGAAGAGAUGAAAAAAACCACAGCUUACAGAGUUGAGGUCGUUGCUGCUGCUGGCGAAACAAGAACAUUUCUGGUGACAAGGCGGGGCAAAUACCAGGACGCAGAGUUUUCAAAGAGGAUAUACACUGUGUCAAUAUCACCUGAUGAUGUCUACCGCUGCUCAUGUUCCAAGUUCAGUCGGGACGGUAUGCAUUGCUGCCACGUCCUAGCGGUAGCAAGACACAUUGGGUUGAGUAGCCUCCCUGAAAGCUUUAUAAAUCCUAGGUGGACAGUAGCUGCAGGGCAUGUGUUAGCUAUGAUGACGGAUGGAAAUGUUGGUCAAAAUGGACAGAGAACACACUUGACAGUCAGGCAUUCUAUAGUCAUGAGCCAGGUGUCCGACGCAUUGUCAAACGAAUGCACGGACGACAGGUCAUACGACCUGUUCGUGGAAGGAAUCGGUGAGGCAAUAAACAAAGUCAGGUUAGACAAGCGGCUCCGCCAAGAACAACAACUCUCAGGUGGGAAGCGACGGUGUAUUGAUGAUCCUCAGCAGCUGAAUGUUGAUGCCAGGCAGGAGGGGGAUGGCGACCUGCACAUCCCUAUGCAGGUGCAUCAAAACAUUGUGUCUACCAUUGGUGCGUCUAGCAUGGGUGGCGUUGAGGUGCAUCAAACAUUUGGUUUGAGAGACCCCCCGCUGUCACGCACAAAAGGUUUCAAACUUGGUGAUAGGCCAAAGACCAUGUAUGAAAAGGCUUCUGAUAAGCUUAAGAAACAAAAAGCAGCAAGGAAGUGUUCCAAGUGCAGGCUGCCAGGCCAUAAAAAGCCACAAUGCCCCCAAAAUAACCCAGCGACAUAA